UGCGCUAUUUCAUAAUGUCAAUAGUGGAUGCCUAGGAGGUGUUGACCGAAGAAGGACGUAUCAAGGCUCGCGAAACUCGCCGGGGAGCCGCCUAUGAGGCUAUAAUCCGGUGGUGUCCGAAUGAGGAAACUCUUCCAGCUUUGCUGGAAAACCUUGUCAUGAAAUUGUUUUGCCCUCGGGUGAGACAUACUAGUGACGGGUGGGGAACCUGGUGAACUGAAACAUCUCAGUAACCGGAGGAAAAUAAAUCACAGAGAUUCCCUUAGUAGCGGCGAGCGAAAGGGGAACAGCCAAAACCACAUUCAGUAAAAUGAAUGUGGUGUUGCAGGACGGCUGGCUUAAAUGCAAAAAGAGUUACAAAAUGAAUUGGUAGAAGAAAGCGCUGGAAUUGCGUUUGCCACAGAAGGUGAUAGACCUGUAUUCGAAACUAAUUCAACUCUUCGCCUGUUCCUUAGUACCAUGGGGUACGAUUAAACCCUGUGGGAAGCCGGGGCGACCACGCUCCAAGGCUAAACAUCAACAUCUACCGAUAGUGAACUAGUACCGUGAGGGAAAGGUGAAAAGCACCCCGGGAGGGGAGUGAAAGAGUUACUGAAACUAUUGACUAACAAGCAGACAAAGCUUGUGCGAAGCACAAGGAAUUCAACGAUAAGUCAAAAGUUAGAAUUGCAGGUAAAAAAUUUAAAAGUUAAAUCACUUUAUUACUUUUAAGUUGCCCGCUUCGCCAGCGAGGCGAGUAUUUUUGCAUUUUGCUUUUUGAAUUUAUUGCUUGAGUUUCUCGUGUUUUGCACGAGUGAUGUCGUGCCUAUUGAAGAAUGAACCGGUGAGUUAUUCCGUCUGUGCAUCAGUCUAAGCCAACUUAAAACUGGCGAAGGCGAAGUGAAAGCGAUCCCUAACCGGGAUAUUUAGCACACUGGAAUAGACCCGAAACCGGGUGAGCUAACCAUGAGCAGGGUGAACCUUGCCGAAAGGUAGGGGGAGGCCCGAACUCGUAUCCGUAGCAAUGGGUUGAGAUGACUUGUGGUUAGGGGCAACAUGCCUAACGAACCCGGAGAUAGCUGGUUCUCCCCGAAAUAUAUAUGGGUAUAGCCUUUGUUUGUUGCUCUUGGGGGUAGAGUACUGGAUGGUGUCUGAUGCGCAAGCAUUAGAGAUCAACCAAACUGCGAAUACCAGGAGUUUUAAGACAAGGAGUCAGACUUGCGGGACUAAGCUCGUGGGUCGAAAGGAAAACAGUCCAGACUUCCGUCUAAGGCCUCUAAAUUCAAGCUAAGUUGUUAAGGAAGUUAAUUUCCAUAGACACCUAGGAGGUUGGCUCAGAAGCAGCCAUCCUUUAAAGAUAGCGUAACAGCUCACUAGCCGAUGGAAGUUAGCGCCGAAAAUGAACGAGGAUUAAGCUUGAUGCCGAUGACGAAGAUCUUGUUCCGCCUCUGGCGGGACGGGGUAGUAGGGGAGCGUCCUAAGUGCAGUGAAGCCCUGUCGUAAGGCAGAGUGGAGCGCUUAGGAGUGAGAAUGCCGGUAUGAGUAGCGUAUGUCGCCUGAGAAUGGCGACCGCCGAAAACCCAAGGUUUCCUCCGCAAUGUAAAUCAGCGGAGGGUUAGUCGGUUCCUAACGGUGGCCCGUGUUUAAUGCGGGGUAGCCGGAUGGACAAGUCGUCAAAAUUCGACUACAUAGGAGAACACGUUAUUACCUAAGGAUUGACUGGAAUGGAAGAAAAGUGCGUUGUAAACGACAGCGUCUAAAUCACGAGGCAGUUUAGGUUGGAAAAUCCGUCUAGACGUUUUAACCAAGUGAUGGGCGAGUCUGAAAGGGCAACCAAGUAGGGCAAGAUUUUCUCUUUCAAUCUGCAGGAAAAGAUUCGUGGGGAGUGUUUUUUUAUGCCGUACCAAAUUACCGACACAGGUGGGUUAGUCGAGUAGACUAAGGCGAUCGGGAGAAGGAUGAUCCAGGAACUCGGCAAAAAAGCUGGGCGUAACCUUUGGGAGAUGCCCUGCCCCGCCUCUGGCGGGGCCGCAGCUAAUGUUUACUAAGCAACUGUUUAUCUAAAACACAGGUCCCUGCAAAGCCGAAAGGCAACGUAUAGGGGCUGAGGCCUGCCCAGUGCUGGUAAGUCAAUGAUGGAAAAUGAUCCUCGUAAGAGGUGAGUUUUUUAUCAAAGCUCCAGUGAACGGCAGCAGUAACUAUAACUGUUCUAUGGUAGCGAAGUUCCUUGUCGGGUAAGUUCCGACCCGCACGAAUGGCAUAAUGACUUAGUAACUGUCUUGAUCAUCUACCCGGCGAAAUUGAGAUGGCUGUGAAGACGCGGCCUGGUUGUCCUAGGACAAAAAGACCCCGGGAGCUUUACUGUAGCUUGACAUUUGCAGGCUUUUUCUAACUGUCGAGAAUAGGAGGGACCUCGCCGCAAGGCGGGGGUCAGUGGAAUACCUCUCUUUGGAAUGAGUGAGCAUUACUUUUUUACCGCAAAAAUAUCCGGUGGAAGAACAGUGUCUGGUGGGCAGUUUAACUGGGGAGGUUGCCUCCUAAAGUGCAACGGAGGCGUGCAAAGGUUGGCUUAGCGCGGACGGAAAUCGCGCUAUAAGUGCAAUGACAUAAGCCAGCUUGACUGCGAGACUUACAAGUCGAGCAGGUGCGAAAGCAGGUCAUAGUGAUCCUGCGCUCUCUCAGUGGUCAGGGCGUAGCUUAACGAAUAAAAGCUACCCCGGGGAUAACAGGCUGAUCGCAUCCAAGCGUCCACAGCGACGAUGCGGUUUGGCACCUCGAUGUCGGCUCAUCCUAGCGCGGAGGUGGAGAAGCUUCCAAGCGUCGGGCUGUUCGCCCGUUAAAAGGGUACGCGAGCUGGGUUAAGAACGUCGUGAGACAGUUCGGUCUCUAUCCAGGACAACCGUUUUGAGAUUUGAGGGGAGUCGUCCCUAGUACGAGAGGACUGGGAUGAGGGAAUCCCUGGUGUGCCAGUUGUCGGUGCGUUAAAUCACUGGCAGUGCUGGGUAGCUAAAUUCCCAUGGGAUAACCGCUGAAAGCAUCUAAGUGGGAAGCCCACCCCAAGAUAAGAUCUCUUGCCUUAAGUGGCUAAGGCUCCUUGUAGAUCACAAGGUCGCCGCAAGGCGAACCUCGUCAGCCGUAAGGCGAGACGGGUUGAUAGGCGGGAUGUGUAAGCGCCGUAAGGCGUUCAGCUAACCCGUACUAAUAAGCCGAAAAUAGCGCAGA
rfam:Candidatus Levybacteria bacterium RIFCSPHIGHO2_01_FTLL_36_15 rifcsphigho2_01_scaffold_3601, whole genome shotgun sequence.